rnacentral:lncRNA from 1 species
GUAGAAUAAGUAGUUAUUUUUAGAAUGUAGAUACCUAGUGUAUAGUGUAAACAGGGAUAGAUAACUGCUGAAAAGGUGGUUCAGCAGGUAGAAUGGAUGAAUAGUGAGGAAAAGUAGUUAUCAUCUGUAGUAUAGGAAUUACUAUCUCGGGGUAUGUGAUUUCUCGUUUUACUUAUUCCGGAAGAAACUUCCCAGAAUAAAUCCAUAUAGGGGAAUUCGAACACGAAGAGUGACUAGUUGCUUGAGCGUUCACGUUAGGGUCACACAAUUAAUUACCUCCAAUGUAUCGUCACUAUUUCUAUUGUCUAAGCACAUAGGAAAACGAUAAUCUCUCCUUUCACCUUAUCACUCUCUUCCUUGCAACAAUUCAGUCAUACCAAUAACUGUUAUUUCCACCAAUAUAUCUUCACUCUUAUAAUCUCCAACUGUAAUACCUCAACGUCACAGCUUCAGCACACAAUUACCCUCAUUCCAAUUACUGGAAUUCUUCACACAGAACUACCAUUCACAUUACAGUGUUUCACACAACCAUAGAUUCACUCUUUCUGCUGAACUACAUUCAGAUUUCAACAUUCAAUCUCUCUUCUUCUCAUUCAAUAACAUAUAAUUUCAUUCACACUUUCAUUCCAUGAUUCACUUCACAAUACUCAGAAACUCUCAAUACUCUUAUUUCAAAGAACAUAACAACAAAAGAAAAGAGGUAGCACCAAGCUUACCCUGGCUCACACUAUCACAGUAAUGGCGAUUUCUUCCUCUCUCUCAUCCUCCUUAUCCUACCACAAGAUACCAACUGCUACAUCUCUAAUGAAAACUGCUUUUCUUAACUAUUCAUCCAUUUUAACUACUGAACUACCUUUCUAACAGUCAUCUAUCCCUGUUUACACUAUAAACUAAGUAUCUACAAAUCAGCAAAUAACUACUUAUUCUACAGGGUAGUAUAAGGAGGAUGGGAGAGGGGAAGCAAAUGCCAGACUGUGAGAGUUGUGAGCCGGGGUAAGCUUGGUGCUACUUCUUUUCUUUUUGUUUGUUAUUUUCUUUGAAUAAGAAGAUUGAAAGUUUCUGAAUAUUGUGAAGUGAAUUAUGGAAAUGUGAUUGGUAUUAUUUGAAAAGAAAAAAGAUUGAAUGUUGAAAUCUGAUUGUAGUUCAGCAGAGAGAAUGAGUCUAUGUUUAUGUGAAACACUGUAAUGUGAAUGGCAGUUCUGUGUGAAGAAUUCCAAUGAUUGAAACGAGGGUAAUUGUAUGCUGAAAGCUGUGAGGGCACAGUAUUACAGUUGGAGAUUAUGAGGGUGAAUAUAUUGGUGGAAAUAGCAGUUAUUGAUAUGACUGAAUUACUGUAAGGAAGAGUCCGAUAAAGUGAAGGAGGAGAUUAUAGUUUCCUUAUGUAUUUAGAUAUUGGAAAUAGAGACGAUAUAUUCAGGAAGUAAUUGAUUGUGUGACCCUAACGUGAACGCUUAAGCAACUAGUCAUUCUCCGUGUUUGAAUUCUCUUAUACGGGUUUAUGCUGGGAGGUUUCUUCCAAAAUAAGUAAAAUGAGCAAUCACAUUUUGGCACCGCUGCCGGGGAGUGAUAAUAGCUUUGAGUGUUAGGAAUUAAUUACCAAACGUGUGAGAAAAUUGGCAAUGGAAGACGAUUUCAAUAGUGUUUGAAGAAAGAGUAUGAUUAUUAAGAAUGAGAAUUUAACAGUAAAGAGAAUAAAGCAAUCAAAGGAAAGAACAAAGCGAUCGCAAGCAAGAAAUUUGUUGCAUAAUGAGCAAGAUCACAAAUUAAAAAAGAAGCAUCGAUAAAGUUGGAUUAAGCCGUGGUUGCAUGCAUGUCGACAUAUUCGAUCGUAUCCAGAAGACGAUCGACCUCUAAUAUUUCAGAAGUACAUACCGUUAAAGAAAUUGCCAAAAGCACUCGCGGGGAGCACUGCUAAUAGGCCAGCAAACCUCUCAAAGCCGUUAAUGGAAAAUGAGGAAGGUACAGAGGAAUUAGGUAUUCCACUGGGUAUCUUCUCAAUUGAAAAUACGUCCGAUCCUAACAAGUUUGGUUUUGAAGAUUGGCAUAAAUCACUUGCUAAUAAAGACCAAUUCAGAGUAUAUCAAAACUUGUCGUUUUUACCUCAUAUUCAAUCAGUAAAAUUAUUUGGGGAUAAUAAUAGUCAAUUAAGAAGGCCUGGAAGUCCAAAAAAGACUUUUGCAGGAGACAGUUUUUAUUUUAAUAAGAAAUUGAGUGAAACAACGGCAUCUUUAAUGAUGUCCGGAGGACCAGUAGUUUUGAUUGUAGUUCAAAUGGAUGCAGUGGGCGAUCGAAUGACUAGUGUCAUGCCAUUACCUACUUUUUGAGAUUUUGGUAUUUGGUUAUUUGGUUAUUUUGCCAGGUGCGGAUCCAGAUCAACAUUUGUCUCAAUUCUUGACGACGUGUGUAGCCAAUAAUGGAAGAAUAGAAGACAUUUGGCUGAGAUGGCUGCCAGUGACAUUGAAAGAUACAGUGUUUGAGUGGUAUAACCGCCAACCUGUGGGACAAUUUAUCAAUUGGGAGGCAUUGAAAAAUGCAUUUUUAGUCCAUUUUCGACCAAUUGGUUUUGAAGAAUGUCUUAGAGAAAACUAAUGAACAGCAGAAUGGUACCAGUGGAAGCGGUAUAGUCAUAUUAUGGUCGUGUAGCGGAUAUACUUCGAAAAUGGCUAAAUAACCAAAUGCCGGAAUCAUUUGUGUUGUCCAUAUUGGUUAAUGGACUACAUUCACCAGAAUUGAAAAUGUUUGUAAAGGAGGCCCAAUCAGCCACCAUUGCAUCAUCUCUUGAGCGAGCAAAAGUAUGAGAGGAAUGUCACUAUGACCAGAACUUAACAGUUGGAGCCAUGAUGAUUCCAUCUCAAAGAGGUUAUCAAAUGAUAAAUUGGAAUGUCGCAUCGAGAAGUUAUCUGAGAAGGAAUAAUUAUGAUACAAUUCCAUAGGGAAUAGUGGAUGCCGUUCCUUUGCAAGCUGUACCACCAUCAUCAUCACAGUUGUAUGCACCUUAUUCCGUGUAUCAGAAAUCAAUACCUACAAAGAAAUUACCAAUUACAUUAAUAUCAAGGUAUCCCAAUGAGUCAUUGCUGUUAACAUUUAUAAAGAAAAUGGAUGAAUUGGUUGUGAAUGUGGCCAAGGAUAAAGAAAAAAAGCAUAAACCAACCAAUAUGCAUCCCAAUGUCUGGUGCAGCAAUUGUAAGGGGUAAAGUCAUUUAGUAACAGAAUGUCCUUUACCACCCCAAAUGACUGUACAAUGUAUCUUUUGCAGGGGCAAGCAUAUUACCACCAACUGUUGGAAUUUACGGAAACAACAACAACUCAAUAACCAGAUAAUAACUCAACCAACUUCGUCGGAUGUCAAUCAAGUACAGACGAAUAAUAGGUUUGGCUGGAAUGGAAAUCGAGCAAAUAAACAAAACAGGAAUUAUUCUAAUUUCUUCAACUCUAAAUUUCACUAAGAAGAUGUACCCAAUACGCACGGAUUGGCAAUGAAUCAAUUAGGAUACCAUUAAUAUCCACCCAUGAUGAGGCCAAUGCCAGACUCUACAGUAACAAUGGGUCAACCAGGAUCCUUUAUUCAUCCGACAUGGAACAGACCUAGCCGUUAUAUACCCGUAGAGACACCCAAUAUCCCUAAAGGAGUUGGCAGGAGACCACUUUGUUGCUAUCGUUGCAGACAAAUUGGUCAUUAUGCCAAUGAAUGUCCUAAUCCAAGGGCCAGUGAUGACUAUGCUCCAAUAUGUGGAAAUUAUAAGCAGUUUGGUCACACUUAUCAACAGUGCAAUGCGUCUUUUAAUUAUAAUAACUAGGACCAGCAAAUGCAAACAAGCCAACCGGCGGAGGAUAAAGGCCCUGUUCAACAAGACUCACCAGUACAUCGUAUCAAAGUGGUAAAUGCAGUGCUUACCAAAGGCCAACAAAAAGAUAAGAAUCCAAUUCAAGACAUGGAUGAACCAAUCGCAAGAGAGCAAGUAGCGCCGUCCACGGGGCUAAACAAACUAAUAUCAAUAUUGGAACGUUUCUCAAUAUUGAGACCUCAACAGACUGAGGAACCCAAUUCGGUCCCACGUGCCAAUUUGUCGGGACUAUCAAGAUCGAUCUCAACUGACCAAGUACCAAUAUCUGUACAGCCCAAUAAAAGAUCUUAUGCAUUAAAGAAACCUUUAGUGGUAGACAAGUUGGCGAAGUUACCAACGGCAAUUCUAAUUGCCAAGAAGGAAUUACUACCGAACGGAGUAAAAUCGAAACCAAUGAAAUGCAAAAGAGCAUUGGAAAUUACUCUCAAUAUGGAAUCCUAUGACAUUCUGAGGGAUUUAGAUGUUAUUCAGCCUUCAAUUACAAUGAAACAACUUUUGGCUAUAGUACCGGAAUGUCGAUUUACAUUGAAUUCAGCGUUAAUACGACGAAGAUCUCGCACUAAAGAAAUUCAUGAAGUUAGUUUAAAUCCAGAUCCGGGAGCACCAAUAAUCGAUGUAUCAAUCAAUGGUGUUUUAAUUCUAGGGGUACAAGUCGAUGGUGGCUCCAGUGUGAAUUUAAUGAACGCGGAUAUAAUAGAGGAUUUGGAUCUAAAGCAAUUGCUACCUACGACAUUGGUAUUACGAAUGGCAGAUCAUAGCCGGAUUAAACCAAUGGAUAUCUUAUGGAGUGUUCAAACUAUGAUUGCCGGUAUUGCAUAUGAAAUCGACUAUAUUAUCUUUCGGUUACAACGUUCGACUUUAUCGUAUCUAAUUUUAUUGGGACGACUUUACCUUUAACAAGUAAAGGCCAAGAACAAUUAGGGUCGGGAUACUCUGAUAAUUGGCAAGAGCAGAGACAAAAUGGUGUUACAAAUGUACCCAGAACACUAUCACGGGGAGUCUCAAUUACGAGCAUCUGAUUUAACGUCGGAUGAUGAGCUUAACUCUGAUGAUGACGCAAUAGCACCAAUUACGGAGGCGCCCGUGGAGGCAGUACUACACCCUAGAGUGGUGUACCAAUGUGGAGGUCCGAGAGAGUACUUGAUAUACCUGAUGGACUCGAAAAACUUGGAUUAUGUUAGUACUAAUUGGAUGAUCAAGUAUGAUAUGCACCAUGUUAGUGCCCUAGACAUUGGAUUCAAUACUUCAUACAUGUUGAACUUACCGACUGACUUUAAACCAGUGCGGGGGUUGAAACAGAACAUCAUUGUUGCACCUUUAUGUCAAACUAUCAACUUGGCGACUACAGCAAAACCUCGGACGAUUAAGGUCUACGAAGGUAUUAAGGAAUAAGAGUUGACCUACUGGACGGAAUUUUUCUUGCAUCAUAAAUCCGCUUUUGCUUGGACUUAUGAUGAUUUAAAAGGUAUUCCCAUUGAAGUCUAUGAGCAUCGUAUCAUUUUAGAGGAGAACGCUAAACCGGUAUGGCAGAGGCAACAUCACCUUAAUCCUAAAUAUUUCUUCAUGGUGAAAGAGGAAUUGGAUAAACUUCUCGACAUGGAUUUUAUUUAUCUUGUUCCACAUGGUGCAUAGGUUUCUCCAAUCGUGAUGGUACCGAAGAAGAAUAGAAAAAUCUGAAAUUGUCAGGAUUUCUGGAAACUUAAUGUGGCUACCAAGAAUGAUUACUUUUCAUUACCUUUCAUGGACAGUAUGGGUAACAUGUUGUCGUUAUCAUCACUAGGUAAAAGAAUAGGAGUGGGGCACCAGUUAAAGUCAUUCUGUGGUGUUGUUUAGGAUUGGCUGGAGUGCCAUUUUCUUGUAUUUCUUGUGUUUUCAAGAGUAGUAGUUCCAGUUAAAAGUUAACAGUGAGGAGCCAAUGAAAAGAAAGAGAAUGCAUGGUGGAGACCCAUAGGCAAGAACUAUUCCGGGCUUGCAAUCAUUCAAUUUUGGAAUUGGAAAAAACAAAGGGUCAGUUGGUAAUGGAACGAGAAAAUAUCGAGUUAUUGGCGCAAGAGAAAUUGGUAUUGAGUGACCAAUACAGAUGUGAAAUGGAGUGGUUAAGGGCUGAAAUUGAGGCCUUGAACGUCGAGGUGACAAGAUUGGCAGAGGAUUUAGUCAAUAUUGGUCAAACACAAGUAUCGACGUUGCCAGUUUCCAAAGUUCUAAAAGAGAGGAGUCACUUUCAUCGCCAGUUGGAAUUGAGAGAUGCUCAGAUCCUGAAAUUAGAAGCUCAAGUCUGUGAACUGGGUGAAUACAAUGAAAACCUUUCAGCUUAGUUGAGGUAGGAGCCGAUGGAAGGAUUGGAGGAGGACGAAGAUUUGUAAUUGGAACCGAAAUCGGUGGAACCAAUAAUAGAUAUUGUAGCAAUUGAUUAAUUAGAUAGGCCAGAGGGAUUGCAAUUUUUGUAGAGUUUUAUUAGAUAAUUUUUAAAUAGGUAUCAAUUGAGUGUUUGCAAGGAUAUUGUACAGUUAGGAGUGGGGCUAUGUAGAAUAAGUAAUUAUUUUUAGAAUAUAGAUACCUAGUGUAUAGUGUAAACAAGGAUAGAUAACUGUUGAAAAGGUGGUUCAGCAUGUAGAAUGGAUGAAUAGUCAGGAAAAGUAGUUAUCAUCUAUAGUAUAGGAGUUAGUAUCUCAGGGUAGUAUAAAGAGGAUGGGAAAGGGGAAGAAAAUGCCAGACUGUAAGAGUUGUGAGCCGGGGUAAGCUUGGUGCUACUUCUUUUCUUUUUGUUUGUUAUUUUCUUUGAAUAAGAAGAUUGAAAGUUUCUGAAUAUUGUGAAGUGAAUUAUGGAAAUGUGAUUGGUAUUAUUUGAAAAGAAGAAAGAUUGAAUGUUGAAAUCUGAUUGUAGUUCAGUAGAGAGAAUGAGUCUGUAUUUGUGUGAAACACUGUAAUAUGAAUGGCAGUUCUGUGUGAAGAAUUCCAAUGAUUGGAACGAGGGUAAUUGUGUGCUGAAAGCUGUGAGGGCACAAUAUUACAGUUGGAGAUUAUGAGGGUGAAUAUAUUGGUAGAAAUAGCAGUUAUUGGUAUGAUUGAAUUGCUAUAAGGAAGAGACCGAUAAAGUGAAGGAGGAGAUUAUAGUUUCCUUAUGUGUUCAGAUAUUGGAAAUAGAAACGAUACAUUCAGGAAGUAAU